rnacentral:pre_miRNA from 1 species
GCACACAUCACCCUGGGAUCUUGUUAAAAGGCAAAUUCUAGUUCAGCAGGUUUGGGUAGAGCUUGGGAUCCAGUAUUUGUGACAAGCUCCUAGGUGAUGCCCAC